rnacentral:rRNA from 1 species
CCUACGGGAGGCAGCAGUGAGGAAUAUUGGUCAAUGGGCGCGCGCCUGAACCAGCAAAGUAGCUUGAAGGAUGACUGCCCUACGGGUUGUAAACUUCUUUUAUAAAGGAAUAAAGUGAGGCACGUGUGCCUUUUUGUAUGUACUUUAUAAAUAAGGAUCGCCUAACUCCUGACCACAAGCCGCGGUAAUACGGGGGUCCCGGAGGUUAUCCGGAUUUAUUGGGUUUAAAGGGAGCGUAGAUGGGUUGUUAAGUCAGUUGUGAAAGUUUGCGGCUCAACCGUAAAAUUGCAAUUGAUACUGGCAGUCUUGAGUACAGUUGAGGUAGGCGGAAUUCGUGGUGUAGCGGUGAAAUGCUUAGAUAUCACGAAGAACUCCGAUUGCGAAGGCAGCUUACUAAACUGCCACUGACAUUGAUGCUCGAAAGUGUGGGUAUCAAACAGGAUUAGAUACCCUUGUAGUC